rnacentral:rRNA from 1 species
AUUGAACGCUGGCGGCAGGCCUAACACAUGCAAGUCGAGCGAGCGGCGGACGGGAGAGUAAUGUAUGGGGACUGACUGAUAGAGGGGGAUAACUAAUGGAAACGGUGGCUACUACCGAAUAGUAUCGGAUAACCCGUAUGUGAUUAUGUAGUGGUUGGGGUAAAGGCUCACCUAGGAGACGAGCUCUAGCUGGUCUGAGAGGAUGAUCAGCCACACUGGAACUGAGACACGGCCCAGACUCCUACGGAGGCAGCAGUGGGGAAUAUUGCACAAUGGGCGCAAGCCUGAUGCAGCCAUGCCGAGUGUAUGAAGAAGGCCUUAGGGUUGUAAAGUACUUUCAGCGGGGAGGCGUUACCCGCAGAAGAAGCACCGGCUAACUCCGUGCCAGCAGCCGCGGUAAUAC